rnacentral:rRNA from 1 species
GACGUAGGGGGCAAGCGUUGUUCGGAAUUAUUGGGCGUAAAGCGCUCGUAGGCGGGACAGGAAGUUCGUGUUGAAAGACCUCGGCUCAACUGAGGGACCGGCUCGAAUACUCUUGUUCUUGAGGCAAUCAGAGGGUGAUGGAAUUCCCGGUGUAGCGGUGAAAUGCGUAGAUAUCGAGAGGAACACCAGUGGCGAAGGCGAGUCCCUGGACACUUCCUGACACUGAGGCACGAAAGCUAGGGGAGCAAACAGG